CCUACGGGAGGCAGCAGUGGGGAAUUUUGCGCAAUGGGGGAAACCCUGACGCAGCAACGCCGCGUGCGGGACGACGGCCCUCGGGUUGUAAACCGCUUUCAGUGGGGACGAUGGUGACGGUACCCACAGAAGAAGCUCCGGCUAACUACGUGCCAGCAGCCGCGGUAAUACGUAGGGAGCGAGCGUUAUCCGGAUUCAUUGGGCGUAAAGCGCGCGUAGGCGGCUGCCUAAGCGGAACCUCUAAUCCCGGGGCUCAACCUCGGGCCGGGUUCCGAACUGGGCGGCUCGAGUGCGGUAGAGGCAGG
rnacentral:rRNA from 1 species